GUCAUUAGAGAAGUAAAGUCGUACCAGGUUCCGAGGGACCUGCGGAAGGUCAUUA
rnacentral:rRNA from 1 species